CGAUGGUGCUUAAAUCCCCUUAACAAGGUAUGCUUAGGGAGGAGCUUGCGUCACAUUAGUUAGUUGGCAGGGUAAAGGCCUACCAAGACUAUGAUGUGUAGCUGGACUGAGAGGUUGAACAGCCACAUUGGGACUGAGACACGGCCCAAACUCCUACGGGAGGCAGCAGUAGGGAAUUUCGGCAAUGGAGGAAACUCUGACCGAGCAACGCCGCGUGAACGAUGAAGUAUUUCGGUAUGUAAAGUUCUUUUAUUGAAGAAGAAAAAAUAGUGGAAAAACUAUCUUGACGAUAUUCAAUGAAUAAGCCCCGGCAAACUAUGUGCCAGCAGCCGCGGUAAUACAUAGGGGGCGAGCGUUAUCCGGAAUUAUUGGGCGUAAAGGGUGCGUAGGCGGUUUAAUAAGUCUAUAGUUUAAUUUCAGUGCUUAACACUGUCCUGCUAUAGAAACUAUUAGACUAGAGUGAGAUAGAGGCAAGUGGAAUUCCAUGUGUAGCGGUAAAAUGCGUAAAUAUAUGGAGGAACACCAGAGGCGUAGGCGGCUUGCUGGGUCUUUACUGACGCUGAGGCACGAAAGCGUGGGGAGCAAACAGGAUUAGAUACCCUGGUAGUCCACGCCGUAAACGAUGAGUACUAAGUGUCGGGAUUACUCGGUACUGAAGUUAACACAUUAAGUACUCCGCCUGAGUAGUACGUACGCAAGUAUGAAACUUAAAGGAAUUGACGGGACUCCGCACAAGCGGUGGAUCAUGUUGUUUAAUUCGAAGAUACACGAAAAACCUAAACCAGUCUUGACAUACUCUGCAAAGCUGUAGAAACACAGAUAGAAGGGGGAGGAGAUUCAAAGAUUC
rnacentral:rRNA from 1 species